GAUGAACGCUGGCGGCGUGCCUAAUACAUGCAAGUCGAGCGAACGGACGAGAAGCUUGCUUCUCUGAUGUUAGCGGCGGACGGGUGAGUAACACGUGGAUAACCUACCUAUAAGACUGGGAUAACUUCGGGAAACCGGAGCUAAUACCGGAUAAUAUUUUGAACCGCAUGGUUCAAAAGUGAAAGACGGUCUUGCUGUCACUUAUAGAUGGAUCCGCCCUGCAUUAGCUAGUUGGUAAGGUAACGGCUUACCAAGGCAACGAUGCAUAGCCGACCUGAGAGGGUGAUCGGCCACACCGGAACUGAGACACGGUCCAGACUCCUACGGGAGGCAGCAGUAGGGAAUCUUCCGCAAUGGGCGAAAGCCUGACGGAGCAACGCCGCGUGAGUGAGGAAGGUCUUCGGAUCGUAAAACUCUGUUAUUAGGGAAGAACAUAUGUGUAAGUAACUGUGCACAUCUUGACGGUACCUAAUCAGAAAGCCACGGCUAACUACGUG
rnacentral:rRNA from 1 species